ACAUAACUGAUGCCUCCGCGUAUCGACUUUGUGCGCAUUUUAGCUAUUAUGUGUUCUUUUAAUUAAAAUGAUUCUUUUUAAGAUUCAUCUAUUAAAAAUUUGCCUCGGCAUAAUUUUUUUUGAUGAUCUUGUUACUUUGAGUAAAUUAGAGUGUUCAAAGCAAACAGAUAUAGCAUUUGUGCGUUUGAAUACUACAGCAUGGAAUAACAAAAUUGAACAAGUCAGAAUUUUUUUGUUCUUUUUUCUUAUUUUGGCUUAGUUACGAUUAAUAGGAGUAGCUUGGGGGCAUUUGUAUUCAGAUGUCAGAGGUGAAAUUCUUAGAUUUUCUGGAGACAAACAACUGCGAAAGCAUUUGCCUAAAAUACUUCCAUUAAUCAAGAACGAAAGUUAAGGGAGUGAAGACGAUCAGAUACCGUCGUAAUCUUAACCAUAAACUAUGCCGACUAGGCUUUGGAUGAAAGAUUUUAAAAUAAGAGUUUUUCUUUUCUCUCCGGAGAUUAGAACUCUUAGAUUGCUUCCUUCAGUGCCUUAUGAGAAAUCAAAGUCUUUGGGUUCUGGGGCGAGUAUUCGCGCAAGCGAGAAAGUUAAAAGAAUUGACGGAAGGGCACCACCAGGCGUGGAGCUUGCGGCUUAAUUUGACUCAACACGGGAAAACUCACUAGUUUAAGACAAGAGUAGGAUUGACAGAUUAAUAGCUCUUUCUUGAUUUCUUGGAUGGUGAUGCAUGGCCGUUUUUAGUUCGUGAAUAUGAUUUGUCUGGUUAAUUCCGAUAACGAACGAGAUCUUAACCUGCUAAUUAGCGGCAAAUACGAUAUAUUCUUAUGUAGAAUUGAAUAUAGUGGAUUUGUUAGAUUUUGAAGAAAAUAUUGGAAUUACGUUAAAUGUGAUUCCUUUCCCUUUUCUACUUAAUUUACAUUUCCAUCUAUUUCUUUUUUGCGUAUGAAUGUAUUUGCUUGAUUGUAAAGCUUCUUAGAGGAACGAUGUGUG
rnacentral:rRNA from 1 species